AGGUGAAGCUGCAAAAACAUAAUACUGAAGCACAUGGGAUCAAGUACAAGAAUAGUUUGCAUUGUACUGCUAGGAUACUAAGGACUGAAGGAAUUAGAGGACUUUAUAGAGGUGCUACAUCAUCUUUUGUGGGGAUGUCUUUUGAGAGUUCCCUCGUUUUUGGCAUUUAUUCCCAGACGAAACAGUUUCUGCAGGAAGCUUUUUUGUGAAAUUUGCAACAACUAUUGAAGCCGACAAGGCCAUUGCAGCUCUAAACAAUCAACAUUUUUUUCCUGGGG